AAUUCUCCUACAUAAACAAAAUAUUGCAAAGUAAUUGUAUUUGUAUUUUAGAAUAACUUAUAAUAUCUUGCAUUAUUAAAACAGCAUUUCUUUCCAUUCCAUACGUUUCUUAUGAAUGUAAAAACACAAUAAGUAUAUGUAUUUAUAUGAAUUCCAAAAUUAUUAACACAUGGUGGCCACUGGUCAUGGAAAACCUGGAAAUCAGGGAAAAGUCAGGGAAAUAAAGUCUGGUCGGUGAACAGAGAAAAAGUCAUGGAAUUUUAUAAUUAGUCAGGGAAAAAGCUUGGAGUUUUUAAUUAACCAGGGAAAUUUUUAACUAAUAAAAAUUUUUGAUUUUUUAGUGAGAAAAUUCAAGAAAAAGAGUUCAGGGAAAAACAAAAAAAUGUCAGGGAAAAGUCAGGGAAUUUAUUUGACUAAUUUUAGUAGCAAUCUGCAAAUCCGAUGUUAUUAACAAUUGUCAGCUUGUUAAGUGAUAUUGUAACUGAAAAUUUAAGUCUUACAAAUUUGAAAAAUAUGAAUUUGAACAAAAAAUACUACACUUUGAAGAAAAAUUCCAAAAAUCUACAAUUUUAAUAUUUUUUAUUUUAUGCGUUCAAAUUUUUAAAACUUUGCUUUUUAAUGAAGCACAAUAAAAUUAAAAAAUAAUUUACAACUUUCAAGCUUAAAAAUUGUAUACAAUUCGAACAAUCCUAAACUGUUGAUAUAUUUCUCAUAAUUUAAUACAAUUGAGGAGGUCAAUCAAAUAACUCGAUUAGCGCUUGAAACAUCGCCCUUAUGGUAUUUCGCCGCUUCAGAAAAGGAGAAAAAUUCAAACUCAACAUUUGAAUUUUUGGAAAACGCUAUCUUGUAGUAAAUAAAAAAACGCAACUUUUUUCUUCAAUACUUUUUUUCGUAGGACGAAUAUUAUUUGCAUUAAAAAUUGAAAACAACAAAAUUUUUCUUUUCAAAUUUAAUUAAAUUUUAUAACAUAAAUCGUCGUUUUGAAGAAAAAUGUGAAUGGAUUAACUUGGAAUUUGGUAUACAAACUCAGUUGGGUCUACUGAAACGAAAAAAAUCAUAGAAAACUUAAAAAUUAUUUAUUGUUUAAUUAUUUUUUAUUGUAAGCAAUGACGUGUCAGCAAUAUAACUCUUUUACAUUCAAUGACAAAAAGUAUCUAGGGAAGUUUUGAGUUGAGCAAUCGCAAGGAAGUUGUUCCUCAGUAUUCAAGGAAGUUUUCUAGAAAAUUCCAAAACAAUUUAUUGAAAAAUAAAAAAGUAAUGCAAUUUUU